GGUUGUGUAGUCUAGUGGUUAGGACACCAGAUUUUGAGAUUCUAACGUCUUCUGGUAACCUGGGUUCGAGCCCCAGCACGACCU